rnacentral:rRNA from 1 species
CAGCCGCCACGGUAAUACGUAGGUGGCAAGCGUUGUCCGGAAUUAUUGGGCGUAAAGGGCUCGCAGGCGGUUCCUUAAGUCUGAUGUGAAAGCCCCCGGCUCAACCGGGGAGGGUCAUUGGAAACUGGGAAACUUGAGUGCAGAAGAGGAGAGUGGAAUUCCACGUGUAGCGGUGAAAUGCGUAGAGAUGUGGAGGAACACCAGUGGCGAAGGCGACUCUCUGGUCUGUAACUGACGCUGAGGAGCGAAAGCGUGGGGAGCGAACAGGAUUAGAUACCCCCGUAGUCCCUGUCUCUUAUAC